AAAUUAGGCAUAUUUAAAGUCACAUUUGUUUUUCAGCCCACUUUAUUUAAAUUCGGUCCGAUUAUUCAUUCCAGCCCAACAAAGAAGAAGUGGCCCAAAUAUUGAUAUAUAUAUACAAAAACUAUCCCUUCAUCCGUUUAGAAACCGUAACCCUAAUUGGAGGAGAGAGAGAGGAUCCUCCAAACCGAGAGAGAGAGAGAGAGGCGGCAGGGGAGGAGAACGCGAACGCAGCCGGAGGUAGAGUUCUCCUCCAUUCCGCCGCCUCUCUCUCUCAGUUUCAUGCCGCCGCGGCUGUAUACGGCCGGAUCUGGGCCGUCCACUGCUCUACAAGGGCGACCGCCGCCGUCGCCGUCCUCCUCGUGCCCACGAUCGGAUCUAGUUUGAUGAUUGUAUUGGGCAUUUAUCUCUAAUGGUUAGUAGAGCGCCAUUUAUUUAUCUGUAAUAGUAAUUAGGCCAUGUAUUUAUCUGUAAUACUAGUAAUUAGGCCAUUUAUUUAUCUGUUAUAGUAAUUAGGCAAUUUAUAUCUGUAAUAGUAAUUAGUUACCCCUUAAUCCCCCUAUUUACGGUGAUGCUUUGUGUUUUAA